GACGAACGCUGGCGGCGUGCUUAACACAUGCAAGUCGAACGGAAAGGCCCUGCUUUUGUGGGGUGCUUGAGUGGCGAACGGGUGAGUAACACGUGAGUAACCUGCCCUUGACUUUGGGAUAACUUCAGGAAACUGGGGCUAAUACCGGAUAGGAGCUCCUGCUGCAUGGUGGGGGUUGGAAAGUUUCGGCGGUUGGGGAUGGACUCGCGGCUUAUCAGCUUGUUGGUGGGGUAGUGGCUUACCAAGGCUUUGACGGGUAGCCGGCCUGAGAGGGUGACCGGCCACAUUGGGACUGAGAUACGGCCCAGACUCCUACGGGAGGCAGCAGUGGGGAAUAUUGCACAAUGGGCGGAAGCCUGAUGCGGCAACGCCGCGUGCGGGAUGACGGCCUUCGGGUUGUAAACCGCUUUCGCCUGUGACGAAGCGUGAGUGACGGUAAUGGGUAAAGAAGCACCGGCUAACUACGUG
rnacentral:rRNA from 1 species